rnacentral:rRNA from 1 species
AGCUCCAAUAGCGUAUAUUAAAGUUGCUGCAGUUAAAAAGCUCGUAGUUGCAUUUCCGAGGCAAGGGAUUAGUCCGACCUUUGGUGGGUAUUUAAUCCUCUUGCCUCGUCCUUGAGUGGUGCUUCUUGGUAUUAAGUUAUCGAGGAGAUAGCCGCUCAUCGUUUACUGUGAGAAAAUUAGAGUGUUCAAAGCAGGCUUAUGCCGUUGAAUAUAUUAGCAUGGAAUAAUAAGAUAGGACCUCGGUACUAUUUUGGUGGUUUGAGAACCAAGGUAAUGAUGAAUAGGGACAGUUGGGGGUAUUCGUAUUCAGUUGUCAGAGGUGAAAUUCUUAGAUUUACGGAAGACGAACUACUGCGAAAGCAUUUACCAAGGAUGUUGUCA